GCCCGCUUAGCUCAGUGGUAGAGCGCGUCACUUGUAACAGAUGGAGAUGAUGAGGUCGGUUGUUCAAUCCAGCCAGUGGGCA
rfam:Paxillus involutus ATCC 200175 unplaced genomic scaffold PAXINscaffold_41, whole genome shotgun sequence.